UCAAGCGUUUAGUUGUCCCUGUAUUGUAUAAUGUAUUUAUUAUCAUAAUUUCAGUAAAUAUGUAUUUUUCCUAAAUCUGUAAUUUCAUUUCCUACCAUUUAUCAGUCACAAAAUCUGAAGCGUGAAAUCUCUUUAAAAAUGUUUCAAAUGUAAGCUAACGCUCUGUCCUGUGAUACCAGGUAGAAUGGAACCCCUCACUCUGACCGGAAAGGUCGGGUUUGGGCUGGGUCAUGUACUCAAUGACCUCUGUGCUUCUAUGUGGUUCACCUACCUCCUUUUGUUUUAUCACAAGGUUUUGUACUUUAACAACAGUUAUGCCGGUGUUAUCUUACUAGUUGGACAGAUUGCAGAUGGCUUGAGCACAACCUUUGUUGGAUUUUUGAGUGAUAGACCUGACAAUACCUGGCUGUGUAGGAAGUACGGAAAGAGAAAAUCUUGGCAUCUGCUGGGAACCAUUUGUAUCCUUGGGAGCUUUCCUUUCAUCUUCCUACAGUGCCUGGGCUGCGGGGAAUCUGAUGAGUGGGCUCAGCUGAUUUACUAUUCUGGGUUUGCUGUAAUAUUUCAAUUUGGUUGGGCCUGUGUUCAAAUAUCCCAUCUCUCCUUAAUCCCAGGACUCUCGUCGUGUCAAAACGAUAGAACAGGACUCACAGCUAUCAGGUAUUCUAUGACUGUAGCUUCUAACAUUUGUGUUUACCUGAUUGCUAUGGCAUUCUUUGGCCUUGGAGACUCCGGAACCGAACUCUCUGAUCAGGAUGAAGACAAAUUUCGGAACUUAAUGUUGAUCGUGAUUGGUCUUGGAACAGUGGCAAGCAUUCUCUUCCAUCUGCUGGUCAAAGAGGAGGUGGAGCACAGGAUAAUAGUAACAGAGGAAACUAAAAGAAACUAUCUCUCAGCUUCAUAUUGGUUUACAGAACCACAAUUCUACAUAGUAGCAUUGUUGUAUAUGAGCACAAGAUUAUUUGUAAAUUUGUCUCAAACGUACAUUCCACUGUAUAUUCAGGAAUCUCUUGAACUACCCACCAUCUAUAUUGCUAUUAUCCCUCUUGUAAUGUACAUAUCAGGGUUCAUAACAUCAUUCCUUAUGAAGGUUUUGAACAGGAAAGCAGGUAGAAAGGUGACCUACCUCCUCGGGUCAGCACUCUGCUGUUCAGCUGCGGUUUGGGUCUUUGUCGGCGCAGGAGAAAAGCAAACUGGAACCUUCUUCCGUGACUACGGAAUCUUCUUUACCGUUGUACUGUACGGGUCUGGGGGCAGUACAAUACUUAUAACUAGUCUAGCACUCACUGCAGAACUCAUAGGAAAAAAUCAUGGUUCUUCAGCGUUUGUUUACGGUGCUAUGUCUUUCACUGACAAGGUUUCUAAUGGUCUGGUCGUCAUGUUGAUUCAGUAUUUGAUUCCGUGCCUAAAGUGCUGUCCGGAGUGCAAGUGGUUUUUCCGCGACGUUCUCUUCUACGCAACUGGUGGUUCUGCUGUUCUUGGUAUUAUAUCGCUCCUCAUUCUUUCUCCCUUCACUGUAGGAGAACGCAGGACACCACUUAUUAUUGAAGGACAAGAAAUAGGAGGAAGGAGGACAAGUUUACAGGGCGAAAGGAGGACAAGUUUACAGGGAGAAAGGAGGACAAGUUUACAGGGAGAAAGGAGGACAAGUGUACAGGGAGAAAGGAGGACACGUAACCCAGAACAAAAAAGAAGUAACACGGAAGAACCAACUGAAAGAACACCUUUGAUUUAACAAUAUCCGCAAAAAAACUCUCCUUUGAUUUUGCAAAAUCCGCCAAAAACUGAUGAAAAUUAAAAAUGGCGCCAAGGGCUAGAAUCAGCUGACAAUCGACCAAUAUUAAUUGAUUUCCGAAAAUGAUAGCUUUUGUCUUCCAUUACGUUUCAUUUCGUAUUUUAAAGCAUUAGCUUCUACCAUGUAGAAUGUUUUAUUUACAUUAUAGUUUUAAUCAGUUUUAGUUAUUUUCGAGGUUUAAACAUUUGCGAACAUUUGCCCUUUGCAAGUUUCUCAUGGUCAAAUUUAGUAUAACAGCAUUUGUUUCAAGAAAUAUUUUGUUUAAUGUGUUGUCUAAAUCUUUGAUAACGAUGACAAAAAUGUUGUAGUUUUUCUUAGAAAUGAGCCAUUCUCAACCGUUUAUUGGCACAAAGCAAAAAAGACUUGAAACGAUUAUUUUAAAAGAAAUUAUAACAAGGCCGCCAUAGGUGUAUCUCAUAAUGCUUCUGGUAACCCCAAACUACCUUGAUAGCCCCUUUAAAUUCAUAACAUAAAAGUAUACUCCAGUUCUGUGAUAAUUAUAAAACUCAUUCCGUCAUAAAGUCUAUAAUUUUUAAGUUCCAAACCGAGUUUCAUACAGUGGUCGGUUUUCAUAUCAAAACAACGAAGACGACUUUCUAUUAAAUCGCCUUUAUUGUAUUGAUGGAUACGACGACGAUUGAAUUCGGGCUCAAAUUCGGUUUAGUAUUUUCCUUCUGUCUUCUUCAUUUUUUUCUUCAUUAGAUUUUUUAAAUUUUUUUUAUUGUUUUAGUCACACUCACAACUCACACUCGCGGCUUAAAAUUUGGCUUUGCAAAACUUUCAAAUUUGAGCUUUUAAAUUUAAUUCGAUUUUAAAUCUACAUUCAACUAAAUGGUUUUUUGUAGGUUAUUAUAAGCGUCUCAUAAAAUCCAAACAAAAUGAUUCGUAAUAAUUUCGUUUUCGUUUACCCUCAUUUAUAUUUGCUGUAAUUCAAAUACAAUGUCACAUUCUUUCUAACCGCCAUAUAAACUUCUCUUAAGUUUUGUGACAAUAAUAUUGAAAAGUCUUGUUUCUGGAAAAGAAUUUAUUAUUUCCUAGUGUUCUUUUUAUUUUAAGAUGAUGCUUAUAUUUGUGUUGACCAAUCUACAUACAGUUAGAAACAGAAAACUGUGGAAUAGGAAGAGAACAUUAAAGUAAAUAAGUGUAUUCGAUGGUGUUACAAAGCAAGUAGUUUUAAUAAUUUAUUUAUUUUAUCACUUAAGUAAAAUGGGUCUGUUUACACUGCGCAAUUGUUGUAUCUUAAACGUUUAAUUGACUAUUUAGACAUAACUUGAGCCUAAAAUUCGUCUUCAUAUUCCUGAGUUUUCUGGUUCUCACUGCAAGUACACAAAUACUGUUGGUCACAUCGAUUUAGAAAAAAACCUUUUGUAAUUCUAAAAAAUGACAUUUUAUAGAUAAUUAGUAUUUUAUUUUACAUUUUGUUCAAUUUCUCUAAUAAAUAAAGACUUUAAAUUAUUA
rnacentral:misc_RNA from 1 species